AUGUUUCAACAAAUGCUUGUAGGGUCCGAUCAUGACAACAUGGAUGAUGACGAGGAAGGGAGCAUGUCGUCUGCUAUACCUAGCGAGGUUGAUCCAUUAGAAUUUGUUUACACAAACAUCCCCGACACCACUCACAUCCUGAAGCUCGACGCAAACUGCAAACACUGCAAGGCCAAAAAGUUUGUCUCUGAGACCGACGGGUUCUGCUGUCGCAAUGGCCAGAUCGAACUUAAACAACCGGAGCCAAUCCCAGAGCUGAUGAGGCUAUGGUCAAGCAUGGAUGCAGAUUCUAGACAUUUUCAGGAGAACAUAAGGUUCUUCAACGGGCAUUUCGCCUUCACAACCCUUGGCGUCAGCCUUGAUGAGAACUACACAAACAUGAAGUCUGGGGUGUACACAUUCCGUGCGCACGGCUCCAUCUACCACAAUGUGCAUUCGUUCGGGCCUAGCUCCCGUCCAGAACAUCUGCAGUUGUACUUCUAUGAUGACGACCCAACCAUAACUCAUCUAAGGUGGCCACCAAGCAAUUAG
rnacentral:rRNA from 1 species